rnacentral:rRNA from 1 species
UGCGUAGGGACCAAGCGUUGUUCGGAUUUACUGGGCGUAAAGGGCGCGUAGGCGGCGUGGUAAGUCACUUGUGAAAUCUCUGAGCUUAACUCAGAACGGCCAAGUGAUACUGCUGUGCUAGAGUGCAGAAGGGGCAAUCGGAAUUCUUGGUGUAGCGGUGAAAUGCGUAGAUAUCUGGAGGAACACCGGUGGCGAAGGCGGCAUCCUGGACCGACACUGACGCUGAGGAGCGAAAGCCAGGGGAGCAAACGGG